ACAUACAUCACCAUCAACUGAACA
rnacentral:siRNA from 1 species